rnacentral:rRNA from 1 species
UACGGAGGGGGCUAGCGUUGUCCGGAAUUAUUGGGCGUAAAGAGCUCGUAGGCGGUUUGUCGCGUCGGCUGUGAAAACCCGGGGCUCAACCCCGGGCCUGCAUUCGAUACGGGCAGACUAGAGUUCGGUAGGGGAGUCUGGAAUUCCUGGUGUAGCGGUGAAAUGCGCAGAUAUCAGGAGGAACACCGGUGGCGAAGGCGGGACUCUGGGCCGAUACUGACGCUGAGGAGCGAAAGCGUGGGGAGCAAACAGG